AUUGAACGCUGGCGGCAUGCCUUACACAUGCAAGUCGAACGGUAACAGGUCUUCGGAUGCUGACGAGUGGCGAACGGGUGAGUAAUACAUCGGAACGUGCCCAGGCGUGGGGGAUAACGAGGCGAAAGCUUUGCUAAUACCGCAUACGAUCUAAGGAUGAAAGCAGGGGACCGCAAGGCCUUGCGCGUUUGGAGCGGCCGAUGGCAGAUUAGGUAGUUGGGGGGAUAAAAGCUUACCAAGCCGACGAUCUGUAGCUGGUCUGAGAGGACGACCAGCCACACGGGGACUGAGACACGGCCCAGACUCCUACGGGAGGCAGCAGUGGGGAAUUUUGGACAAUGGGCGAAAGCCUGAUCCAGCAAUGCCGCGUGCAGGAUGAAGGCCUUCGGGUUGUAAACUGCUUUUGUACGGAACGAAAAGGCUCUGGCUAAUACCUGGGGCACAUGACGGUACCGUAAGAAUAAGCACCGGCUAACUACGUGCCAGCAGCCGCAGUAACAC
rnacentral:rRNA from 1 species